UUUGGAUAAAUGUAAGAUAAAAUAUUAAAAUUGGCUUAAAAUAAAAAAUCUCGCCUAACCCCACCCAGGGCCGGCCUAGGCCCCUAGGCGCUAGGCCCCCUCUGUCGUCCGCCUCCCGCCUAGCGCCUUUUAGAACAUUGCAAUGAAUUCAUCUUUUUGCUGCAGUGUUCAUCUUUUUGCUGCAGUGUUUUGCUGCAACUAUUUUCAAAGCUAGCAAACAAAGUUUUCUGUCAUUGAUAUCAAAACAGCAGUAGCACAAACAAAAAUUCGGAACAAGCUAUCAAAAUUGGAAAUUUUGUCUUUUAUAUCCUACAUCCAGAUUCAACAAUUUUCGAAGUAAAGACCGAUGAACGCAAAGGAACAAAAGUUAAAACCAGAGGCAAUUUCACGUACAGAAUCAUAUACAUACCUGGACUGGAAUUUCGAACAAAUCUCCAAGGAAAUCACGAAUUGAAGGUUCAAUUGAGAUGAAUCUGUUCACCAUUAGUCCAUUAAUUUGAAAUCAGUGAGGGAAAAGGAUGAGGAGCAGAAGGGGAAAUGGCGCACCUUGGAGAAGAUGCCCUAAUCCCACUUCCAACUUACCAAGUACCUUCUGUUGUGUCGGUUGGAGCUGUAAAUGGUAAUAGGUAUUUGUAAUUGACAAAAAAAA
rnacentral:lncRNA from 1 species